rnacentral:misc_RNA from 1 species
GAUGAAGAACGUAGCGAAAUGCGAUACGUAAUGUGAAUUGCAGAAUUCAGUGAAUCAUCGAAUCUUUGAACGCAUAUUGCGCUCUCUGGUAUUCCGGAGAGCAUGCUUGUUUGAGUAUCAGUAAACACCUCAACUCCCUUUUCUUUUUUGAAAUGGGAGCUGGACUUGAGUGAUCCCAACACUUUUCUCACUGGAAAGUGGCGUGUCACUUGAAAUGCAGGUGCAGCUGGACUUUUCUCUGAGCUAUAAGCAUAUCUAUUUAGUCUGCCUAAAAAACAGAUUAUUACCUUUGCUGCAGCUAACAUAAAGGAGAUGAGUUCUUGUGCUGACUGAUGCAGGAUUCACAGAGACAGCUUUGCGGCUGACUUUGUAAACUCGAUCUCAAAUCAAGUAAGACUACCCGCUGAACUUAAGCAUAUCAAUAAGCGGAGGA